CAAUCUCGACUUAAGCAAAGCCUUUUGUGACUUGAUGUAUUUGUGCGUGUGACAUAUGCCUUUAAUACAGACAGAUAUAUUCAGGUAAAUAAUUGAUCACCUUCACUUAUAAUAAACAUUAAGUUUUAGUAAUAUUAUGUUGACAUUUCCGCAGACAUUGAGAUUAGACAUACGUCAAACAAUGGAUUAUGUGUUGUGGUUGGAAUCGGUACAUUUAUCACAACACUUACAAUAGUAGCUUUUGUUUUGAUCGGAUUUCGAUUGUUCAAGAAAAUGAGGUGCGUACGUUGUAAAAGCAAUGAUCCAGGUAAUGCUGUAGAACUGCAACAUUCAACUACGGCUGGAAACAAUGUCUCACCCGAAUAUACAGACUUGGAUGAACACAGAAGAGAAACCAAUGUUUAUAAUGAACCUUCCGUUACUAAUUAUGAAGAGCCGGACGUGUAACCUUAAACGGCAUACAUGGCAUUUUGUGUCGCAUCGACACCAAAACCUGUAAUUUCUGACAACAUUUAAUAUAUAUUUUCUCAUUAUGUAUACGCCUUGGUUAUGUAACAUUUGAUUCUUCCAAAGACCCAUUAUGCCCCAAAUAUGCUUUUACUUUAUUCAACAAAACCAUUUAUUUUGGGUCCUGUCAUAGUUUUAAAACAGUUGCCCACUAGACCAUAUUUUGCAUCUGUUGCCUUUUGGCAAUAUUACAAUAAAAGUUAUUUAGUAUUUUGUAUGGAAGUAGAAAUAACACUUAUGACAAUUAAAUGCACAUUCAGCGCUACUUUUUGUACGUCAUAAGCAUUUAGUAUUCUUUUAAACAAAUAUUUGAACGUUUUAACUUCAUCAUUCCCCUUUCUAAAGAAGGAACAAUAAACGUGUUUCUGAGGUAUAAUGUGACUUAAAUAAGACAUUUAACUUGUAAACAACAGAAAAAGUUCUGUCAAACAUAAGUAUCUGGAAAAUGUUAAUACCCCAUGAAUAUAAUAUUAAAUAAAUUUAUAAUUGUUUGAUUAUUCAUUAUGACUAUACAAUGCCAAGAUUAAACUUUUUUUUAAUUUUUAGCCGUAUAAAGACUUACUUUUUCACAAUUUGUAACAACUUGCAUAACAGAGAGUCUAAGCCAAUACUAAUUUAGGUAAGGAUCAGGCUUGUGUCAAUACUAUAUAUUUGACUAUUUUGUCAAUGGAAUUAAUUGCUAACACCUAAAUAUUUUUGGUGUUGUCAAACAACAAAGGGACAGAGAAAUAAGUCGGCCUUUUGUAUAGAUUGUUUUGUUUAGACUGUGAACUGAAUCUGUACGACGAGGUAACAUCCAAAUGGUUAGAUACACAUUUAUAAAUGUUAUCAUUUCUAAUAAUCA